UCUCUUGUCACCAAGUUAUGCUUGUGUUUCUUUUAGCCUUUCACGAAGACGCUGACGUUUGGGAUCUGGAUGGCUACGAAGGUGACGGCGAAGCUGAAGCGAGGGCCCUAGACAUGUUGGAGAACGAUGAUCCCCUACUCAUGGAAGACUACAUCUUGUCAUGAUGCUGGAUGCUGCAGAGGGGGUGGCUGCGUGCCGAGGCAGACGUGGAAGACGCUCAGAGUCUCAGCUCUCCAGAUGUGUCACGCUCUCACUUUUCUCGUACCACUUCGCUGUCUUCUUCUCCCACAUCACCCACCUAAAGUAGAAAACAUUGCGUGCCUCACCCUUCCCCCCAUCUCCGCAGCCUUUUCAUCAUAUAAGAUGGCCUGACUGCAGUGUACAUAGCUUGGAAAAUGGCGCCUUUUCGCGCGUCGUCACGUUUUCCCGGGCACGUAAUGCUUGCUGGUUCUGUUUUUUUUUUAGUCGUUCAAGUUGGAAGCAACCCGCUUUUCCCCCUCCCCUCCUCGAUUGUUUGCCAGCAAGAGAAGUUUGUGAUAUAGGUUUAGGCUUUCGAAUAGGCAUAGUCUUGUUGUGGAACUUUUGCUGGCUUUUUGAGUGACGAACGAUGUUCGAUGAAGUGUGAAGACUUGGAACUUGUAGUUGCAUUGUUCUUUUGUUUUUGUGUACAAGUGUGCUGAGCAGCUGCCGUGUGUUAUGUUAUCAAAACAAGAAGGCUUCCUGUUGCCUCAUGCAUUUUUUUGAAGCAAAUUAUGUAGCGCUAAAGUUUGUGUAUGUAGGGUAAUGCUAGGGCAGCUGUGUUCUUGUCCUGUGUGGGAGGGACGCUUAAAAGGAAGGCAUUCGGAAUUGUGCGUUUUUGCCUUUUAGCCCCGUGUUCAACAAAGACACAAAUUUCCGCUGCGGUUGAGCGAUUGAUCACAGUUUUCGUAUUUUUGCUGUUAUGUGUCUGCUUCAGAAUGUUAUUGCACAUGGUUAAUAAUCUGUGUUGUUUUCUAGCCAGCUGUGCAGGGGGCAGCAUUAGGGAUCUUAUGUAGUCAAACUUUCAGUGGCACAUGUGUCUGUAUUAUUAUGACAUUUGAUUUCCUAAGUAUUGAUGUAAGUUAGGUAGUUAAUUUGUUACUUACUGGAUUGUUUUUUAUAUCAUCAGCUUCAACAUUAGCGAGCCAAAAAAGAAAAUGCUCACAGUUUUCUGAUGCAAUCUCUCCCACAGCAAAACACAACCAUUUUGUGUUACUCUUACUACUUGCAAUAUGCAUAGAUGUAUAUGUGCACACAAAGACCUGUGGUGCUUGCUUGGGUUGUUGUAUGUAAGUCACUGUUUUAGUUUGAUUUCUGUUUCAAUGGCCAGUUAUCAAAAUGCUCUAUUCUAAAGUAGCACCUGAUAUAUAUUGUCACAUAUUUUCUGGAAAAGCACUGGCUACAAAGGUGUGUAGUUAUACCUUGUCGUCAAAUAGAUUUCUUGAAAUGCAUUGUGAAUAGUCCGAGUAAAUCAACGAUUGAAGGCAUUUGGGCUCCUCGCAUUAUUGCUUUUCAUUCACAAAGGUUGUCGGAAGUAGGACAUGCUGCUUGAGGCUUGCUUCAGAGGAAAGGGAUGCAAAUGCUAAAGCCUGCGUAAAUGAGAUGCGUAGACAAACGUAACCCUCCAAACACAUCACAGUUUCUCACACAGCUUCAUCUGCAGCAUCACAAAAGCCAAUUCCAAUGCUUGUGCAACGCUGACGUCUGCGUUUCCAGAGUGCUUUUCGUUGUGGAUCUGAUGUCUGAUUAUCUGUGAGUGGUGGUAGCCGCUGUUGAGAAGAGUUGUUGACUGCUGUACACAAUGCUCUAUUUUUCUCUCUCCUUGUUGUUUGCAGCAGCUGCAAAAUAGAUUAAAGAUGGGCAGGCUGCCCAUUGUGCGUUGA